rnacentral:rRNA from 1 species
AGCGAACGCUGGCGGCAGGCUUAACACAUGCAAGUCGAGCGGGCACUUUCGGGUGUCAGCGGCGGACGGGUGAGUAACGCGUGGGAACGUGCCCUCUGGUUCGGAAUAACUCAGGGAAACUUGAGCUAAUACCGGCUACGCCCUUUUGGGGAAAGGCUUGUUGCCGGAGGAUCGGCCCGCGUCUGAUUAGCUAGUUGGUGAGGUAACGGCUCACCAAGGCGACGAGCAGUAGCUGGUCUGAGAGGAUGAUCAGCCACACUGGGACUGAGACACGGCCCAGACUCCUACGGGAGGCAGCAGUGGGGAAUAUUGGACAAUGGGCGCAAGCCUGAUCCAGCCAUGCCGCGUGAGUGAUGAAGGCCUUAGGGUUGUAAAGCUCUUUUAUCCGGGACGAUAAUGACGGUACCGGAGGAAUAAGCCCCGGCUAACUUCGUG